GCCAGGCAUGGUGGUGCACACCUGUAAUCCCAGCUACUUGGAGGCUGAGACAGGAUAACCGCUUGAACUCAGGAGUUGGAGGUUGCAGUGAGCAGAGAUCAUGCCACUGCACUCCAGCCUGGGUGACAGAGUGAGACUCUGUCUCAA
rnacentral:SRP_RNA from 1 species